rnacentral:snoRNA from 1 species
GCCCUCCAAAUUCCUUACCCUUCAGAUUUAGCUAAACAUUGGUCUGAGUGGUCAUGAAAGGGGGAAAGGAAAAUUGAACUACUCGUGACACAUGA